rnacentral:snRNA from 1 species
NNNNCUGGAAUUAUACAGAGAAGAGUAGCAUGGCCCCUGCACAAGGAUGACACGCAAAUUCAUGAAAUGUUCCAUAUUUUU